GCGAUUCUCUUCCCGUUCCAAGCAGAAACGCACCAACAGCGUGCAGGCUGGCCGACGAGAGACGUCUCACACUGGGUUGGAGAAGCAGACAAACAUCUGAAGCCGUGCUUGUCGCAGUUGGGAAGGUAGAACGUGGUGAACUUCUCGCCCAGGGCCAACUGGGAGGCCGCGAUCGUGUCAAGGGCGGAGUGAAGUUCGGUGUGACAUGGACCCUACGACCAAACAUUGAUGAGAACAUAGAUGUUAGAUGGACACCCUAAACACUUUAUAACCCAAGUCUACACAAUACACAAUCCAAAAACUAUUUCCAUUUUAUUUUAAGAAUAAAAUGGUAUUAAAUAUU